rnacentral:lncRNA from 1 species
AGUCCUAUCCCUACGGUCCUGGAAUUGGGGGUUACUAUCUUGGAAUCUAGGGGCACUCCAGGCUCUGGGCUCAGACGGCUGGCUUCUGCCUACCCGAGCCUUAACCUUUCAAGGACCAGAAGGAUUCCAGAGCUCUUGCCCUAGGUCCUGGGGCAGCGAUGACUCACUGCAGCACCCCCUCCCACUUCGCCAAGCUGCCGUCUCCGCCCACCCCCAAACAAUCUCGACAGCGCAUUUCGGGAGCCACGGCUCCGGGCGCUUUGCUGGGGGCUAAAGGGGUUUAUCCCUUUCCUUGAAUCCCAGCAGGCUAGAACUACCCCCUCCCAGUCUUCAGGCUUGCCACGCUCUCCACCCGAUCCUUCCAUUGAAAGGCAGAGAAGGAAGGAUGUGCUUGGGAACUUUAAGACCCACGAACGACAGCGCACUGAUGGAGCAGCCCAGUGUCUGGGGCAAAGUCCUCGAGGUUCAUUCAUUCAGGAAGCCUCUGACCAGCCUUUACCAUGCGCUGAGUGAGAAGCUGAGGAUAAGGAAAGAGCAAGACCCCCAAGAAACCCUGAUGUCUGGCUGAAAGCCGAAGCAUGACGCAACUUUGCUAUAUUUCUCUCCAACAAGGAUUUGUAUAUUUUCGCUUUCUCCUCAAGUAACACCUGGACCUGCUCCUUUCCCUUCAAACGCUGAGGGCUCAGUCUCCAAGUUCCUUUAUGAAACAGGGUGUACCAUCAGAGACGCAGGUAUUUAUUGAAACCUGCUUUGUGCUGGGCAAUGUGCCAGAUGUUGGGGAUAAAAUGGAGACUUCAGAAAUGAAGAUGCAAAGACAACAGGGGAAACCAUAUAUGUUUAUGGACAGUCAUGCCAAAGUAUGAUUGGAAGACAAAAAGUGCCCUGAACAGUCCCUACAGAAGCAGUGAAGUAGUCAACAAACAUCUCAUGUCUACUUGGGAUGGAGCACUGGCUCAGGUCCUGGGGAGGAGUGGAGGGGGACACAAAGACAAGUAAGACAAGGUACCUGUCUAACGGUGAAGUGGGGGAGUUAGACUUAUACACUAACUCAUAGUAAGGGCUCGGUCAAAAGGAUGGUGUUGGGGGAGGGUGGGUGUCCAGGUCUGUAGACUCAGAAUUCAAAACUGGGGUUCUGGAGUGCCCGCUUUGCAGAAAUUGCUGUAAAAUGUCACCAAUUUUACUCACACUUGGACUAAAAGAAUAAAUGAAGUCAUGGCUUACUUUAAAAACUGAGCUUAUGACAGACACGAGACAGUCUUACUGACAUCUAGAAAGAGACAACUGGCCUGGAUAGAGGGAGCUUAUAUUUUUUACUCUAAUGGCAAUACUACUUUUUACAGAAAAAGAAUCAAAGAAAUAGUAAAUAAAAAUCAGACUGACUCGAAUAUUUAAAAAGAAGAAAAAAAGUAGUGCACGUUAAUCCUCCAAUUCAGGGGCAAUUACUAUUCAUAUUCUCAACCAUAUGUAAUAACUGGGGUAGUGAAAAUGCAUUUCUUUCCUCCCACCAUUUGCAUACUUGGAAUCUCACUUACAUUGCAUGUAGGUUAGAGAAAAAAGAUGCUGCUUUGUUUGGAUUUUGCUUUUGCUGUGGAAUCCAUUAGACAGCAAUGUGCUUUGUAUGUCAAAGAGUAGAAAGGCUCCAUUUCCUCUUUUCAAAAUGUUUUUAGCAGAAGUCAACCACUGUAUUUAUUCCAUGAAGUUCUCCAUUU